GGUCAUUGUCCACCUCCGAGCCUGUCAUUCCGUGGCUGCUUUCUCAUUCUUCUUUUAAUGAUCAUGACCAGGCAGGGCUCCGGCUGCCCCAGAGCCACCCCUCUUAUGGCCCUGUCCCACCCGGACUAUUUUGGGCUUUGUGACCAGCAGGUCAGCCUCACCCCGCUGCGUGCCUGUGGCAAAGGGCAAGGCUUGGCAAGCCCCCCAGGUCCCCUUCUCCAGGCCACUCCCAACUGCCUUCCCCUGAGGCUGCCGCAGCGGUGACCCUGGGCGCUGGGUUUUACAUACACUCCCAGCGGUCAGAGAGGCAGGUGGUCAGUGGUUUUGACCCUGUAGAGCAGAGAGUCUGGUCGUCAUAGUAACAGUCUGCUCCUGUGGGUCUGUUCCAAUAAAACUUUAUUUAUAGGCUCUGAAAUUUGAAUUCCAUCUAAUUUGCAUGUGUUGGAAAUUUCAAUUCUUUUUAAAUUUUUUCCCUUGAUCAUUUAAAAAUGUAAAGCCAGUAGCUCGGUGGUAGAGGACUUGCCAAGCACAUGUGAAGCCCUGGGUUUGAUUCCCAGCCCCACACACGAAAAAUAGGUAAAUUAAAAAAUAAAUAACAAAAUUGCAUCUAGGUGGGGUGGCCACACCUGACAUCCCAGCUGUGUGUGAGGCUGAGGCAGGAGGAUCGCAAGUUCUGUCUCAAAACUAGAAAUAAAAAGGUCUGGGAUGUGGCUCAGUGCCAGGCUCUUGCCCAGCGUGCCUGUGGCAGGGCUCCACCCCAGGACAGCAAAACCUUCAGAUCAACCCACCAACCAAACCCAUGAGCCCAGUUUAUUAGCAUGAGUGCAAUGUACUGUUACUUGAUUUACCCUAAAAGUUGAAAAUACCAUUGAGCAAAACACGAGUCACACUGUGUGCAUGGUUUUUGGUUUGUCAAGUCCCGAAGGAUGUCCUAAAGGGUGUAUGAAGACAGUUAAUACCCACGUAAUGUGUCCACUCAAUG
rnacentral:lncRNA from 1 species